UGCCGUCGCGGGCUGUGGUGCAAUCGCCGAAGCACAGUAUUGAUGCCAUUUCGGAAUCCCAAAAUUUGCCAGAAAGGAUUUUAACACCAAUUUUAGUUUUUUUGGGAUAUUUUUAGGUACGUGAAGCAUGUUUUAAUCUCCGUAAGAAAAUUCAGAAAAUCUAGAGAUCGCUAAUAGGCGCAGUAGAAAGUUUGGUGUUUCCGAAAUAAAUCGGGUAAGGAUCAUUCACUAUUUUCAACGUUACGAGAAAUUGAGACUUAAUAAUUAAUAAUUGUAUAUUUUUAUAAAAAAAAUAGAGAAUAUUAAAAAUAAUUACAGCUUAUU
rnacentral:lncRNA from 1 species